rfam:Zea mays cultivar B73 chromosome 5, whole genome shotgun sequence.
AGCAAAGGCAUCAUUGAGCGCAGCGUUGAUGAGCCAGCCGCCGUGCCUCCCCUGUCGGCUGCGGCGGCUCACCAGCGCUGCACUCAAUUACGCCUUUG